rnacentral:rRNA from 1 species
ACACAUGCAAGUCGAGGGGAAACGACAUCGAAAGCUUGCUUUUGAUGGGCGUCGACCGGCGCACGGGUGAGUAACGCGUAUCCAACCUGCCCACCACUUGGGGAUAACCUUGCGAAAGUAAGACUAAUACCCAAUGACGUCUCUAGAAGACAUCUGAAAGAGAUUAAAGAUUUAUCGGUGAUGGAUGGGGAUGCGUCUGAUUAGCUUGUUGGCGGGGUAACGGCCCACCAAGGCGACGAUCAGUAGGGGUUCUGAGAGGAAGGUCCCCCACAUUGGAACUGAGACACGGUCCAAACUCCUACGGGAGGCAGCAGUGAGGAAUAUUGGUCAAUGGGCGAGAGCCUGAACCAGCCAAGUAGCGUGCAGGAUGACGGCCCUAUGGGUUGUAAACUGCUUUUAUAAGGGAAUAAAGUGAGUCUCGUGAGACUUUUUGCAUGUACCUUAUGAAUAAGGACCGGCUAAUUCCGUGCCAGCAGCCGCGGUAAUACGGAAGGUCCGGGCGUUAUCCGGAUUUAUUGGGUUUAAAGGGAGCGUAGGCCGGAGAUUAAGCGUGUUGUGAAAUGUAGACGCUCAACGUCUGCACUGCAGCGCGAACUGGUUUCCUUGAGUACGCACAAAGUGGGCGGAAUUCGUGGUGUAGCGGUGAAAUGCUUAGAUAUCACGAAGAACUCCGAUUGCGAAGGCAGCUCACUGGAGCGCAACUGACGCUGAAGCUCGAAAGUGCGGGUAUCGAACAGGAUUAGAUACCCUGGUAGUCCGCACGGUAAACGAUGGAUGCCCGCUGUUGGUCUGAAUAGGUCAGCGGCCAAGCGAAAGCAUUAAGCAUCCCACCUGGGGAGUACGCCGGCAACGGUGAAACUCAA